rnacentral:tRNA from 1 species
GCGGGAAUAGCUCAGUGGUAGAGCAUCACCUUGCCAAGGUGAGGGUCGCGGGUUCGAAUCCCGUUUCCCGCU